rnacentral:lncRNA from 1 species
GCUGGGGGGUGACGUCACCGCCGCGCUCCGCCUUAUAUAAGCGGGGCCGUUACGGCCCUGUUUGUGUAGCGUUCACCGGGUUCGGUGCGUGGCGUUCGGGGUUCUCCGAGUUUGUGGUGCCCCGAGCCCCAGGCUGAGUUUUCUGGUAGUACUACAUCUCCAGUGACUGAUGGAUAUGAGUUCUUACACUGCAUUUCCCGCAUCCCAGCGGGCAGAGUUUGCCUUCCAUAUACAAUGUUCUUCACUUUUCCUCAUGGUGCCUUAAUUUUCAUUGAUAACUUUCUGUGGUAAAAGAGUAAUAAAAAAAAGCUAUCUUUUCUGAUAACA